AAGCAUCAAGAAAAUUUCAGUAGAGGCUUUUUUACAACUCUUCUGAAAAAUCAAUGGUGCAAGAGAAAUCUUGGAUUCCAAGAUGACCUUUUUAUUUGUGAAAGGUCGUCAUUUCACCCCAAGGACAUUU